GCUGCGCACCGCCAGCCGGCUGACCCAGCGGCCCGCGCCCGCGCCCUUGUCCGCCGACCCCGCGGCGGGCUCCAGGCUGCCGACAGCAUGAGCGGCGGCGGCGACGUAGUGUGCACCGGCUGGCUGAGGAAAUCGCCCCCCGAGAAGAAGUUGAGGCGCUAUGCCUGGAAGAAACGCUGGUUUAUCCUGCGGAGUGGGCGGAUGAGCGGUGACCCAGAUGUUCUGGAAUACUACAAGAAUGAUCACUCCAAGAAGCCCCUGCGCAUCAUCAACCUGAACUUCUGCGAGCAGGUGGAUGCAGGCCUGACCUUCAACAAGAAGGAGCUGCAGGAUAGUUUUGUGUUUGACAUCAAGACCAGCGAGCGCACCUUUUACCUGGUGGCCGAGACGGAGGAGGACAUGAAUAAGUGGGUCCAGAGCAUCUGCCAGAUCUGUGGCUUCAAUCAGGCUGAGGAGAGCACAGACUCCCUGAGGAACAUUUCCUCAGCCAGUCACGGCGCCCGCUCUUCUCCAGCUGAGCUCAGCAGCUCCAAUCAGCACCUUCUCCGAGAACGAAAAUCCUCAGCCCCAUCGCACUCCAGCCAGCCAACCUUGUUCACCUUUGAACCCUCGGUGUCGAACCACGUGCAGCCCGCCUUGUCCACCAGUGCACCUCAGGAGUAUCUCUACUUGCACCAGUGCAUAAGCCGGAGAGCAGAAAACGCAAGGAGCGCCAGCUUCUCUCAGGGCACCAGGGCCUCGUUUCUCAUGAGGAGCGACACGGCCGUGCAGAAACUCGCCCAGGGCAACGGACACUGUGUCAACGGGGUCAGUGGUCAAGUCCACGGCUUCUACAGCCUCCCCAAGCCAAGCAGGCACAAUACAGAAUUCAGAGACAGUACCUACGACCUCCCCCGGAGCCUGGCCUCCCAUGGCCACACCAAGGGCAGCCUCACAGGCUCUGAGACGGAUCACGAGGACGUGUACACCUUCAAGACGCCCAGCAACACCCUGUGCCGCGAGUUUGGGGACCUCCUGGUGGACAAUAUGGAUGUUCCGGCCACCCCACUCUCAGCCUACCAGAUCCCUAGGACGUUCACACUGGACAGGAACCACAACACCAUGGCAGUCGCCACUCCUGGGGACUCGGCCGCAGCCCCCCCACCCCGGCCCCCCAAGCCAAGUCAGGCAGAAACACCUCGAUGGGGCAGCCCUCAGCAGAGGCCUCCAGCCGGUGACAGCAGCAGAUCGGCCUCUGCCGCGGCGACCAUCCCCAGGCGCAACACCCUCCCAGCCAUGGACAACAGCCGACUUCACCGAGCUUCUUCCUGCGAGUCCUACGACUACCCCCAGCGUGGUGGAGACAAUGCAGGCCGGUCCACCGAGUCCGUGAGUGACGCAGUCAGCGCUUUUCUGCCAGGGAAAACAGUGGUAGGCCGAUCGGAUAGCACCAAUUCCGAAGACAACUACGUGCCUAUGAAUCCAGGCUCCUCCACCCUGCUGGCUUUGGAGCGAGCAGGUGACAAUUCCCAGAGUGUCUACAUCCCCAUGAGCCCGGGGCCCCAUCACUUUGACCCGCUGGGCUACCCCACCUCAGCCCUUCCUAUGCACCGAGGCUCCAGCCGAGCGAGUGAGAUCCAGCCACCCCCUGUCAACCGCAACCUCAAACCUGACCGGAAAGCAAAGCCAACACCACUUGACCUGAGAAACAAUACUGUCAUCGAUGAGCUCCCCUUCAAGUCACCCAUCACCAAGUCUUGGUCCAGGGCCAUCCACUCCUUCAACCCGGGAUCCACCCAGUACUGCCGCCCCAUCUCCACACAGAGCAUCACCAGCACGGACUCGGGAGACAGCGAAGAGAACUACGUCCCUAUGCAAAACCCAGUGUCUGCAUCUCCCAUUCCCAGUGGCACCAACAGUCCGGCCCCUAAGAAGAGCACUGGCAGCGUGGAUUAUCUGGCCCUGGACUUCCAGCCGAGCUCCCCAAGCCCCCACCGCAAGGUGCCUGGGGCGGGCGGGCAGCCAUCCACGUCAUCAGUCACUUCCGAUGAGAAGGUGGACUACGUCCAAGUGGACAAGGAGAAGACCCAGGCCCUGCAGAGCACCAUGCAGGAGUGGACAGACGUGCGGCAGUCCUCGGAGCCCUCCAAGGGGCCCAAGCUGUGACGCGCGGGCCCGCCGCCCCAGGGAGGGGCCAGAGGCGGCGUCUCCAGAGCUGACGCCUCCCCGUCUGUCUCCCCCUUCUCCUCUCCAGCGCGCCCUCCUGCCCACCCCCUCUCUACUCUGCCACUCUGGCCUUCAAAGCACUUGUCAUCAGGAACCCUGACCCCUUCCCCUGGGAGGCGAGGGCCAGAUCGAGGCGCUUCCUCGGCUCCCUCGGGGCCCACCUUUGAUUUUUAUCAGCAGUGGCCGUGCCUCUACCCACCUUAGUUAGAGCUAUUGCCAAAAAGCAUCCUUCAGCCUCUUCCUGCCCUUUAGACCCGAAUACCUACCAGACGUGUGGAGGGAGGGGCUGGGGCUCUGAGCCAGAUUCCACACCUCCCCUUUGGGCACAGCUCUCAGCCCCUGUCCCUCCCGCUACUGGCCUACCUCUCCCCCAGUCCCGGAAGAAGCCAAGUCGUCUCGCUGACCCAGGGAGCCAAGGACCAGCGGACCAAGGUGGAUACAGACUUCUUCAGCCCUGUCUUUCUUGGCAGGGGAGAGGCAAGGCCACCAAAAGAUGAAGGAGUUGAGGAGGAAGGUCAGAGGUGGUCUUGAGGGACAAAGGAGUUAGAGCCCCAGAUGCAGAAGGGCAGUGGGUACCUGCUGUGGUCCCCCAUUUUCAGGCCAAGUGGCAGUUGCCGGGUGGGAGAGGCAGAAGGAUAAGGACAGCAGGAGGGGAAGACAGGAUGAUGGGCAACCCAGAACAAGGAGCAGGAGAUGAGGUGACAAAGACACUGCGGGGCCGGGCCCCCGGGACUGUGGGGCCACGGGCCCGGCUCUGUCACUCUGGGACAGAGCAUAGUCUUGUUCCCCGAGACCCCACCCAGACAAGAGUGCCGCACCCACGAGGCUCGGACUGUGCUGGGCGGUGCAGCGCGUGGGGUGGGAGCGCCGAUGUGGUGGGGGGCUGGCGGAGCUGUGGGAAGGCGACGCAGUGUGCGGGGUGGAGGUGCGUGGUGGGGGGACGACUGAGGGGCCACCCUGGGACGGCCUGGGCAGAGACACAGGGCGGCGCCCAGGCCUGGAGUGGAGGCGCUGCAGCAAGUGAGCUUCUGCAAGAUGGGCAGUGCGGCAGGGGAGGCGCUGGUAACCGAUGGGCUGAGAGGCGGGGCGAAGGCUGGGGGUGGGGGAGGCGCAGCUAGUGGUUGAGUACAUCCGGAGGGCCUGGUGGCGAGCCCGGGCAGUGCCGUGGAGAUGCAGGGUGGAGCAGAACGUGAGGACUGGUGUGGUGGUCAGGGGAGCGAUGUGCAUGGCCGCAGGCGAGGGCAGCUCCCAGGACUGAUGGGUGGCGGGCACAGCAGGGCAAAGGAGCAAGCAGAGCGGAACAGAGCCUAGUGGAUGAUGCGGGAGAGUGGCCGGCAGCUUGUGCCGUUUGGUUGAGUUUUGUGUCAGGUCCCAAGGAAGUACAAGUGUGGCCUGGUGACAGGCCAGAGUGUGUUCUCAGCUCACGUCACCCUCUGUUGCCCUGUCGAAUCCCAGGUGCCUAGCUACAGGGACAGGAGAGGGCAGGCCUCUCCUCCCAUGGCUUAAAAGGCCACCAGAUCAGCAUCACCCUCUGCCCACCUUUGCCAGGGACAGGAGGAAGGGCAUCACGCCAGGCUCUUUUCUCCUAAGUCUGGGGAGGGGGGCUCUUUUAUGUUAAAGUUCUUGGCCAAAUUUUUAAGAGUUUCAGAGGCAACGUUGGUAGACCAAAUGUUUCGUCCUACCCUGGGGUGAACAGACCUUCCUCCCUCCAAAAAAAGAAAAAAAAAAUGACUUCCCACCCUAUUUAAGGGAGGUGGCUACCGCUCACCUUUCUGCUCCUGUGAGCCUGUGUAAACACGCACACCCCAGGCCUGCGGCCUGACCUUACUCCAUCCCGGGAGAAAUUUUCUCAACAGUAGCCCCUUUCCUCCUAGUAUUAGUCAUAUCAAUUCAAUAAGUAUUCAUUAAUGGCUGCUAUGGCCACGCCUGGGCUAGGCACUGAGAACACAGGAAUUAAAUCAGACUUUGUAUUUGAGAAGGUCAGAGUCGAUGAGAAAGAAGACAAGGACACAUUGGUAAUGGCCAUGAGAGACACUUAAAAUGCUGCUGAUGUGCAGAGAAAUCGAGGCUUGUUCUCUAGGAGGUUGGUGUUGGGGGCAGGAGUGGGGAGGGGGUGGAGAUCAGGGAAGGUGGUUUCUAGGAAAAGGGGGUGCCUGACAGGGGCCUUAGAGGAAGAAGGGUCAGAUUUUGAGAGGGAAGGAGGGCAAGGCUGGGAUCCGGUGGAGGAAGAUGGACAGAGAGACUUAGAGAACCUUGUGCUUUGGGAACAGACCUUUGGGAGUAUGGGCCCAGCCUCUCAGAAGCAGUGAGGCCAUGCCUUGGUGUCCCCACAGGUGAAAUGGUAAUGGUGGUGGCAGUGGCCUACCCUGGGCAGGGUUUGGUGGCUCACUCUGCCCAGCCCUGUGUCCCUUUAAGGCUCUCUGCAAAGGGUCUCACGUGGCAGAGCUUUGAAUGGUGCCACCCCUGUGCCCCCAUUGGCUACAGGUGGGCCCAGGUACUGGUACCCUCAGUUCCCAGCAUCCUCCCCUAUUGAUCGCAAGGUGCCCUAAUAAUGUCAGCAUUUUCUGAAUGUGCCAUGUUGUGACUGAAACUGGGUGGAGUCUUGAGAGACUGAGGUGUUCAAAUCUAACCACCAAGGAGGCCUCCCUCCAGUUCUUGGUUCCUAUAACCCCCAAACCCUUCGGGUAGAGGCGAGAGUAGAGACGGGAGGAAGUACAAGAGAAGAGAAAAUUGGCCUGUUGAGAGCAGAGACUGGCUCAAAAGCCCCAAGUACCAAGGUGUCUAAUAGUCCCCUGUCUGGUCAGUGUAAAAAACUGGUCCUUCGGCCUUCAGUGGGUCAGAAUCCACCUCUCCUGGUGGCCUGGCAAGGACUGCGAUCCCAGGAUGCCUCGUCAGCCAGCAUAGCUCACACAGGCCUCGUCCUGCUUGGUGCUCCUCAGAAGCAGCUGUUCUUGCCCCCUUCCAGCUCCACCUCUGCAGGGAGUGGCAUGGAGCUUGUGUCUCCUUCCCACCUUGGUGAAGAAGGGCCCUGAGGCCUCUUCUGUGGCUACUCCCUGCUCUGUAACUUCGCUCUCGAGGGUCUGGAUCACCAGGGAUAGGCGGCACCCAGAGCACUGGCCAGUUAACCCCGUCCCCUCCCUAGACUGAUUUCAGUAACUUCUACAUUCGAAACCGUUCAAAUAGGUCCCAUUCCUAGGACAGAAGCACAGCUGUUCUCAAGGGAUUUACCUGCCACAGGGCUAAGGCCUCAGCCGCAAGCUGCAGCUGACCCACACCCCUGUGACAGGGCUCUGGAAACAGAGUGCCGGGCAGGAGGGAAACUGGCACGAACUUCCCCUCUGGCCCUUCUGCAAAACGUGGGGGAAGGAGGCUGAGCGCGGGAGCUCUAAAGCCCCCUCCGUCCGGAACGCACCCAGCUCUUUGGGGCCAGGUGGGCCGCCUGAUGAGGGGUCCCCCUGGAGAUUCAGGCUGUCACGUGAUAUUUGGUGGUGUGUGUUCUUAUGUGUUUGUUGGUUACAUGUGUCUUGAAAUUUAGAAUCAUUUCCCACAGAAUCGUUGCUUUGUCGGGAAGAGAAAAUGGGCUGGAAGAAGCCCAGUCUUAGGUUUCUGGCCCUCUUACCAUUUAAAAUUGACGUUUAAUUUUUUUCAAAUCACUGUUGGUGCCUAAUCACUUAAGUUAUUAAUUUAUUCUGUUUUCUUUUUUAAAAAAAAUUUGUAACACGUAUUUAUCCUGUGAGUAGGUCUGGGGAGGGGUGGGAACGUGUUCACAUGGGUCCUGUUUUCGCUGUGGUGACACAUGGUACAGGCCUGGAGCUUGCAGGUCCCUUUUUACUAUGGUGUUGGGUCUGGACAACAAUAAAGUCCAUUAGCCGCAACCAGGAGGGCUGCUGAGUGUGUCUCGUCCGGAGGGGCUGGGGAUGGAAUGCACGCACACUGGGAUCCCGGCUCGCCGUGCCAGUCUGCUCCACUUGCAUUUGAACAGGAACUAACUGGGUACCUUUCUUGGCUGAGAAUCUUCCUUACCUCGGAAAUUGUACUCCUGGUGCGUGAAAUGGAAAGUGUAGUAACAUCUGCCAAUUCAUCUUUCUUAGGAGGCUCAAUGGACCAAAGAGAUGAAUUCUGAGCAUGACUCUGUCUCUGACAGACGACUGUCGGCCCACUUUCGCUGGUCCCUGAGGUCUCAAGGGUCUAUGGCUUUUGGGCCAAAACUCCUCCACCUGCAGCCCCUGAAGCCCCCGGCCAGGCCACUGCAGUCCCAAGCUCCAAGAUGGCUGGAACCUGAGGGCUGCCGCCUACUUUCCUCCCUGCCUGAGCCCAGCCCACCCCAGAUUCUCAGAGAAACUCCCAGUGGGGCUUCCCUGGUGGCGCAGUGGUUGAGAGUCUGCCUGCCGAUACAGGGGAUACAGGUUCGUGCCCCGGUCCGGGAAGAUCCCACAUGCUGCGGAGCGGCUGGGCCCAUGAGCCAUGGCCGCUGAGCCUGCGCGUCCGGAGCCUGUGCUCCGCAACGGGAGAGGCCACAGCAGUGAGAGGCCCGUGUACCGCAAAAAAAAAAAGAAAAGAAAAAAACCUCCCAGCCCCCUGAAGGAAAGGAACUCAUUUCUACUAACUAACUGGACUGUGAACAGCUGACAAGGGCCUGACGUGGCACCACAAAGCAGGAGGUGCACGUCAAAGGUCACCUCAUAGCCCCCAGGGACCCUUCUGCAGGCUUCCUGGAGUGGCUGCCCAGCCUCUGCCUCUCAGGGCACGAGGAACCCUCUGCCAGCGAGGAAGCUCUUCCUCCUGCUGAACUGAGGCCAGCCGUGGAUUCGCCGUCUUACCACGGGCCCAGCCCUGCCUCCACCUGGACAGCUCGGCAGAAACGCAAAAGCAGAGCCAGGGUCCCCACGGCACGCAGGUGCUGCUGGCCAGGGGUCCUGACGUGCCCACACCGGCGGCCUGCGGCAGCACCCCUCAUGCUGGUCCGCACGCUGGCUGUUUCAGCUGCAAAGUAUUUUGAUACCAGCCUUGACUCUACAGAGUGGAGCCGAAGGCUCAGAGAGGCUCAGUGAGUCGGGCGGCCCCCCAUCCGCUCGUAUCCACUACUCACAGAGCCCCUCCUCCAGCACA